ACGACACUGUCAACAUCGGCAAGCAUCGGGUUAAGCGGUAUUUGAUCAACAACAAACACUGAGGCACAUACAACCAUUUAAAAAUAUUGAUCUGUUUUCGAAUUUCUUAAUGUUAUAGCUUUACUUCAUUUUAUUCAGCAAAAACAAACGGACGAGAAUGGUGCGACAAAUUCGACGAAUGGUGAAUCAGACGAAAUGGACGAGCUUUCUCGCCUAGAGGAGCAGAAUACACAACUGAGAGCGAGAACUUCAUGCAAGGUUUGUCGGGAGAGACAAGCGAUCAUCCUGUUGCUUCCGUGUAGCCACCUUGCAACCUGCGUGCAGUGUGAGCAAAACCUAACCAUCUGUCCCGUGUGUAACAGACAAGUUGUGGAGACGGUCAAGACCUUCUUAGGAUGAUCUAAGAGCCAGAGAAAAGAAUGCUGCUUACAUCUGCAUUGCUGAAUUCGUUUGAAUUGAGACAGAACAAACAUAUGUAUUAUUUGGAUCCGAAAUCAUAUUUGGAUAAAAAAAGUUUAUAAUUUUUAUGUUCAUACAUGAAACAAAGACAAUCUAACAUUUUUAUUGUUAAUUUAACAUGAACAUCACUUUGAUAGAAAGUCAUCUAAAAAAAAAAUAUAUGCUUUAAGUGAUAUUUCUUUGAAAUUUUAAACAAAAAAAAUAACUGUUUUUGUGGCUUUCACAGGCAGCUUCUUUCAUGAAGGCAUUAGGCUGUGUUAAUAUAAUGCGAAUUAUUAAAGGUGCUAAAUAAUGAUAUUAAAAUGCUUGUGUUUAAUUA